GGGGUUUGACGAGUUCUCCAUGAUCUCUGUCAAGUCAGGACUCAUAAUAGAAGGAUUAAAUCAUACGAUAACUAUACCUAAGAAUUUAUAUUUUUAUUCUACUAGGUCACCACUACAUACUGUUAGAUGUCACUGGUGGAUUGUGAGACUCAUUGAGCGUCAUCUUGAUGAUCGAUGGCCCUCGAAGGAUAGAACUGAAAAUAUUUCAAUCCAUCGAAAAGAGUUUCGAUG
rnacentral:lncRNA from 1 species